GAAAUGCGAUAAGUAAUGUGAAUUGCAGAAUUCAGUGAAUCAUCGAAUCUUUGAACGCACCUUGCGCUCCUUGGUAUUCCUUGGAGCAUGCCUGUUUGAGUAUCUUAAAAUUAUUUGUCUAAUUUAAUUGACUGUCUGCUUUGGAUUUGGAGGUCUCUGCAGAUUUAACCCUCUGCUCCUCUUAAAUGCAUUAGCUGGAUCUCAGUAUGUGCUUGGUUCCACUCGGCGUGAUAAGUAUCACUCGCUGAGGACACUUUUGUAAAAAAAAAGGUGGCCAGGAAAUACAGAUGAACCGCUUCUAACAGUCUAUUAAAUUAGACAAAUAAUUUUAAGAUCUGAUCUCAAAUCAGGUAGGACUACCCGCUGAACUUAA
rnacentral:misc_RNA from 1 species